CCUACGGGAGGCAGCAGUGAGGAAUAUUGGUCAAUGGACGAGAGUCUGAACCAGCCAAGUAGCGUGAAGGAUGACUGCCCUAUGGGUUGUAAACUUCUUUUAUAAAGGAAUAAAACGAGGCACGUGUGCCUUUUUGCAUGUACUUUAUGAAUAAGGAUCGGCUAACUCCGUGCCAGCAGCCGCGGUAAUACGGAGGAUCCGAGCUUUAUCCGGAUUUAUUUGGUUUAAAGGGAGCGUAGAUGGGUUGUUAAGUCAGUUGUGAAAGUUUGCGGCUCAACCGUAAAAUUGCAAUUGAUACUGGCAGUCUUGAGUACAGUUGAGGUAGGCGGAAUUCGUGGUGUAGCGGUGAAAUGCUUAGAUAUCACGAAGAACCCCGAUUGCGAAGGCAGCUUACUAAACUGUGACUGACAUUGAUGCUCGAAAGUGUGGGUAUCAAACAGGAUUAGAUACCCUGGUAGUC
rnacentral:rRNA from 1 species